GUCAAAAAUCCUCAGUCUUCCCAUUCCUCCUCCUCCUCCUCCUUAGCACCUCCCACAUGCAACCCGCUGGCCCUGAACAUGAAAAACGAGUCACAUCCGAUCAAUAUACCCUCGUCGUGUGUCGCUCCAUCAAUGCCACCAUGAACCUCGCUCACCUCAUGCAUGCACUCAGUCCUUCCACUCCUUUGUGUUGAUUGGUGGAUGUGGAUAAAACAUGGAUUGAUUUUGGAUCAUGGAAGACUGGAAGUUGUUUUUGUUCUUUAUUUUGGUAUUUUUAUUUCUGCUUUAAUGGUGGAUGUUUUUGUUCUUGAUUUGGGUAUAUCAAUUUCUGCUUCAGUGCGUUUGAAUUAUUUUCUUUCAAUUUGUUUUAGUUCUUUAUUUUGUUAUGG
rnacentral:misc_RNA from 1 species